rnacentral:tRNA from 1 species
AGCAAGUAAAGCUUUCAGCAUUGGUUUUGUAAACCAAAGAAUACUCUGUAUGCUUGCUG